CCGUUUCCACUUGCUGCGGGCAAAUCCAAUGAAUAUGCGUAUCGACACCGCCUGCGGUGAGAAUCUGUCCUUCACCAGCGAUCACUUCCGUCGCUGCACCAAGUGGAAUGGUGAUAUCGGGUUGAAUAUCAGGAUUGCCUGCUUUCCCAAUUUUCCCAAUACGGCCGUUUUUUAAACCGACAUCGGCUUUGACAAUACCCCACCAAUCCACAAUCAGCGCAUUGGUAAUGACCGUAUCCGCAACAUCUUCAGCCAACAGUUGUGAUUGUCCCAUGCCAUCACGA
rnacentral:sRNA from 1 species